rnacentral:rRNA from 1 species
GAAGUCGGAAUGCUAGUAAUCGCGGAUCAGCAUGCCGCGGUGAAUACGUUCCCGGGCCUUGUACACACCGCCCGUCACACCAUGGGAGCCGGUAAUACCCGAAGUCAGUAGUCCAACCUCGUGAGGACGCUGCCGAAGGUAGGAUUGGCGACCGGGGUGAAGUCGUAACAAGGUAUC